ACCUAGGUGGUAUAAAUGGUUAACACACUUGGCUGCUAACCAAAAGGUUGGAAGUUCGAGUCCACCCAGAGAUA
rnacentral:tRNA from 1 species